rnacentral:rRNA from 1 species
UACGAAGGGGGCGAGCGUUGUUCGGAAUUACUGGGCGUAAAGGGCGCGCAGGCGGCCCUUGAAGUCAGGCGUGAAAGCCCCGGGCUCAACCUGGGAGGUGCGCUUGAUACUCGAGGGCUUGAGUGCGGGAGAGGAGAGUGGAAUUCCCAGUGUAGAGGUGAAAUUCGUAGAUAUUGGGAAGAACACCGGUGGCGAAGGCGGCGACCUGGGCAGAUACUGACACUGAGGUGCGAAAGCGUGGGGAGCAAACAGG